rnacentral:rRNA from 1 species
UACGUAGGGUGCAAGCGUUGUCCGGAAUUAUUGGGCGUAAAGAGCUCGUAGGCGGUUUGUCGCGUCUGCUGUGAAAACCCGAGGCUCAACCUCGGGCCUGCAGUGGGUACGGGCAGACUAGAGUGCGGUAGGGGAGAUUGGAAUUCCUGGUGUAGCGGUGGAAUGCGCAGAUAUCAGGAGGAACACCAAUGGCGAAGGCAGCUUACUAAAGUAUGAUUGACGCUGAGGCACGAAAGCGUGGGGAUCAAACAGG